UCCUUCCUACGGGUUCAACGAAGCUCGAAUACAUGUUUAAGCAAUUAAAAUAUUUAAUUAAUAGAAUAGCUCAACCACAAAUAUUUACUCAAAACCCGGACCCCCAGCCUUAAAAGUGCGUGUACGUAACUUAAGAAGGUUUCUAAGCCCAUUUUCAACAUUUAUGACAUGUGGAAUGGUCUGCAAAGAAUCGAGGUUAAAUAAGCGAUUACAUUCUCAUAUUGGUCAUUCCAG
rnacentral:lncRNA from 1 species